rnacentral:rRNA from 1 species
UACGUAGGGAGCAAGCGUUGUCCGGAUUCAUUGGGCGUAAAGAGCUCGUAGGCGGCUAAGUAAGUCAGAUGGGAAAACUCCAGGCUCAACCUGGAGACGCCAUUUGAUACUGCUUUGGCUUGAGUUCGGUAGGGGACCAUGGAAUUCCUGGUGUAGCGGUGAAAUGCGCAGAGAUCAGGAGGAACACCGAUGGCGAAGGCAGUGGUCUGGGCCGAAACUGACGCUGAGGAGCGAAAGCGUGGGUAGCGAACAGG